rnacentral:lncRNA from 1 species
AAAGAAAAAUGCAAAAAGGAAUUAGAAAUGCAUUAAAAUGCAAACAUUAUUAAAUCAACUAAUUUCUCAAAUCAACGUCUCUUUUUAGAUCCAUGCACAGAUGAACUCUUCCAUGUGUAGUUCUGUCCUGGUUGCUUGGCAGGAAAGGUCAUUCAUUACCUUCAAGGAUCAGAUGUUGUGAGAUUACUUUCAAUUAUGGGCAAUGAAUAUUGGAGUUGCCAUGAACUCACAAAACAAGGGAUGAGCAAAUGCAAAGGAAUGGCAUUUGUGUCUGGCACAUUGGCUGGUUUCUGAGAACUUUGGUUUGAACGACUGAGGAAUCACUGUUGGAAUCAUGACGGAGACGCACAGAGACGAUGGGGACUGAUGAAAGGGGGAGUGCUUCAUGUGGACUGCUGGAGGGAAAAGCACACUGAUGUUUCUAACACUCAUCUGGCUGGAGGAGAAGAGUGAUCUCUUAUUAAGUGAAAAAAAUUGGCUUUCAGUACAUAUCAUUUGGCUGAUGCUGGCAUGAAAAAGCUAAGAAACAUUAUAUCAAGAACAAUCCAGCAUGGAUUUAUUUAUGCUAAAAUAUGAUGAAAGCAAGACACUGGUUGCUAUGCAGAAGUCAGAGUUUCCAGCAGAUACUGCAUUGUAGCAUUUUGAAUGCCAGGGUUUUCCUUGUAGAAACCAUAUAAGGAAAUAACUAGGUCCAUGAUGUAGUAACAAUAGUAAACUAGUGAUCAGAUACCAGUGAUCACUGUGAACAUUAAGAUACUAUUAACAUAGAAAAAUUAAACCAUAGUGAACUUAACUAGCGGCAUUAGAUCCUAUGAUUAUGGUUAAAUACAAAGAAUUAAAACUGUGAUUACCAGAAAGCCUGUCUAACUAAAGAAGACCAGAGAUGAAAUAAUUGUCAACCAUUACCUUUAUAGACAGGGUAAUGCCAUUUUCCUUGAUCAGCUGAUAUCUGCUUCGCUUACUUGUCUGAAAGAAGAGAAGAGAUUUUCCAUUAAAUUCCUAAAGUUUAUUAUAAUGCAUUUUUAAAUUUUCAUUUUUCCUUAUAUUAAAAAUAUUGCUACUCUAUUGAAGCAUUAUAAGCUGCUAUUACAGUUUCUGAUAGUGUUUCCACUCUGGUUAAUCAUAUUUGAGGUCCUAGCAGUGAAAUGAAGUACACUGUAGUUGACUCAUUUUUCUAAUAUAUUAUAUACUGACUGAUUCUGACAUAGUGUUCAGCUAUCCAAAAACUAUUUUACCUUACUACUCUAGGUAAUAUGCUGCUAAUUGUCUUUGGAUGCUUAAUGUUCUCCAAAUAUGCAUAUUCUCAACAAUGACAACUUAAAUAAAUCUAUAUUACUAGUAGUACCA